rnacentral:rRNA from 1 species
AUUGAACGCUGGCGGAAUGCUUUACACAUGCAAGUCGAACGGUAGAGGGGGCAACCCCUUGAGAGUGGCGAACGGGUGAGUAAUAUAUCGGAACGUGCCCAGUCGUGGGGGAUAACGUAGCGAAAGUUACGCUAAUACCGCAUACGAUCUAAGGAUGAAAGCGGGGGACUCGCAAGAGCCUCGCGCGAUUGGAGCGGCCGAUAUCAGAUUAGGUAGUUGGUGGGGUAAAGGCUCACCAAGCCGACGAUCUGUAGCUGGUCUGAGAGGACGACCAGCCACACUGGAACUGGAGUACACGGGUACCGAGACUCCUAACGGGAGGCAGCAGUGGGGAAUUUUGGACAAUGGAC